GGGUUGUGAGGUUAAGCGACUAAGCGUACACGGUGGAUGCCCUGGCAGUCAGAGGCGAUGAAGGACGUGCUAAUCUGCGAAAAGCGUCGGUAAGGUGAUAUGAACCGUUAUAACCGGCGAUGUCCGAAUGGGGAAACCCAGUGCAAUUCGUUGCACUAUCGUUAACUGAAUACAUAGGUUAACGAGGCGAACCGGGGGAACUGAAACAUCUAAGUACCCCGAGGAAAAGAAAUCAACCGAGAUUCCCCCAGUAGCGGCGAGCGAACGGGGAGCAGCCCAGAGUCUGAAUCAGCUUGUGUGUUAGUGGAACGGUCUGGAAAGUCCGACGGUACAGGGUGAUAGUCCCGUACACCAAAAUGCACAGGUUGUGAACUCGAAGAGUAGGGCGGGACACGUGGUAUCCUGUCUGAAUAUGGGGGACCAUCCUCCAAGGCUAAAUACUCCUGACUGACCGAUAGUGAACCAGUACCGUGAGGGAAAGGCGAAAAGAACCCCGGCGAGGGGAGUGAAAAAGAACCUGAAACCGUGUACGUACAAGCAGUGGGAGCACCUUCGGGUGUGACUGCGUACCUUUUGUAUAAUGGGUCAGCGACUUAUAUUCUGUAGCAAGGUUAACCGUAUAGGGGAGCCGCAGGGAAACCGAGUCUUAACUGGGCGUUAAGUUGCAGGGUAUAGACCCGAAACCCGGUGAUCUAGCCAUGGGCAGGUUGAAGGUUGGGUAACACUAACUGGAGGACCGAACCGACUAAUGUUGAAAAAUUAGCGGAUGACUUGUGGCUGGGGGUGAAAGGCCAAUCAAACCGGGAGAUAGCUGGUUCUCCCCGAAAGCUAUUUAGGUAGCGCCUCGUGAACUCAUCUUCGGGGUAGAGCACUGUUUCGGCUAGGGGGUCAUCCCGACUUACCAACCCGAUGCAAACUACGAAUACCGAAGAAUGUUAUCACGGGAGACACACGGCGGGUGCUAACGUCCGUCGUGAAGAGGGAAACAACCCAGACCGCCAGCUAAGGUCCCAAAGUCAUGGUUAAGUGGGAAACGAUGUGGGAAGGCACAGACAGCCAGGAUGUUGGCUUAGAAGCAGCCAUCAUUUAAAGAAAGCGUAAUAGCUCACUGGUCGAGUCGGCCUGCGCGGAAGAUGUAACGGGGCUAAACCAUGCACCGAAGCUGCGGCAGCGACACUAUGUGUUGUUGGGUAGGGGAGCGUUCUGUAAGCCUGCGAAGGUGUGCUGUGAGGCAUGCUGGAGGUAUCAGAAGUGCGAAUGCUGACAUAAGUAACGAUAAAGCGGGUGAAAAGCCCGCUCGCCGGAAGACCAAGGGUUCCUGUCCAACGUUAAUCGGGGCAGGGUGAGUCGACCCCUAAGGCGAGGCCGAAAGGCGUAGUCGAUGGGAAACAGGUUAAUAUUCCUGUACUUGGUGUUACUGCGAAGGGGGACGGAGAAGGCUAUGUUAGCCGGGCGACGGUUGUCCCGGUUUAAGCAUGUAGGCUGAUUGUCCAGGCAAAUCCGGAUAAUCAAGGCUGAGGUGUGAUGACGAGGCACUACGGUGCUGAAGUAACAAAUGCCCUGCUUCCAGGAAAAGCCUCUAAGCAUCAGGUAACAUUAAAUCGUACCCCAAACCGACACAGGUGGUCAGGUAGAGAAUACCAAGGCGCUUGAGAGAACUCGGGUGAAGGAACUAGGCAAAAUGGUGCCGUAACUUCGGGAGAAGGCACGCUGGUGUGUAGGUGAAGUCCCUGCGGAUGGAGCUGAGACCAGUCGAAGAUACCAGCUGGCUGCAACUGUUUAUUAAAAACACAGCACUGUGCAAACACGAAAGUGGACGUAUACGGUGUGACGCCUGCCCGGUGCCGGAAGGUUAAUUGAUGGGGUUAUCCGUAAGGAGAAGCUCUUGAUCGAAGCCCCGGUAAACGGCGGCCGUAACUAUAACGGUCCUAAGGUAGCGAAAUUCCUUGUCGGGUAAGUUCCGACCUGCACGAAUGGCGUAAUGAUGGCCAGGCUGUCUCCACCCGAGACUCAGUGAAAUUGAACUCGCUGUGAAGAUGCAGUGUACCCGCGGCAAGACGGAAAGACCCCGUGAACCUUUACUAUAGCUUGACACUGAACAUUGAGCCUUGAUGUGUAGGAUAGGUGGGAGGCUUUGAAGCGUGGACGCCAGUCUGCGUGGAGCCAACCUUGAAAUACCACCCUUUAAUGUUUGAUGUUCUAACGUUGGCCCCUGACCGGGGUUGCGGACAGUGUCUGGUGGGUAGUUUGACUGGGGCGGUCUCCUCCCAAAGCGUAACGGAGGAGCACGAAGGUUAGCUAAUCCUGGUCGGACAUCAGGAGGUUAGUGCAAUGGCAUAAGCUAGCUUGACUGCGAGCGUGACGGCGCGAGCAGGUGCGAAAGCAGGUCAUAGUGAUCCGGUGGUUCUGAAUGGAAGGGCCAUCGCUCAACGGAUAAAAGGUACUCCGGGGAUAACAGGCUGAUACCGCCCAAGAGUUCAUAUCGACGGCGGUGUUUGGCACCUCGAUGUCGGCUCAUCACAUCCUGGGGCUGAAGUAGGUCCCAAGGGUAUGGCUGUUCGCCAUUUAAAGUGGUACGCGAGCUGGGUUUAGAACGUCGUGAGACAGUUCGGUCCCUAUCUGCCGUGGGCGCUGGAGAAUUGAGGGGGGCUGCUCCUAGUACGAGAGGACCGGAGUGGACGCAUCACUGGUGUUCGGGUUGUCAUGCCAAUGGCACUGCCCGGUAGCUAAAUGCGGAAGAGAUAAGUGCUGAAAGCAUCUAAGCACGAAACUUGCCCCGAGAUGAGUUCUCCCUGAGACUUUAAGUCUCCUGAAGGAACGUUGAAGACGACGACGUUGAUAGGCCGGGUGUGUAAGCGCAGCGAUGCGUUGAGCUAACCGGUACUAAUGAACCGUGAGGCUUAACCUUACAACGCCGAAG
rnacentral:rRNA from 1 species